AUUGAACGCUGGCGGCAUGCCUUACACAUGCAAGUCGAACGGCAGCACGGGGCAACCUGGUGGCGAGUGGCGAACGGGUGAGUAAUGCAUCGGAACGUGCCAUUGAGUGGGGGAUAACGUAGCGAAAGUUGCGCUAAUACCGCAUAUUCUGUGAGCAGGAAAGCAGGGGACCGCAAGGCCUUGCGCUCUUUGAGCGGCCGAUGUCAGAUUAGCUAGUUGGUGAGGUAACGGCUUACCAAGGCGACAAUCUGUAGCGGGUCUGAGAGGAUGAUCCGCCACACUGGAACUGAGACACGGUCCAGACUCCUACGGAGGCAGCAGUGGGGAAUUUGGACAAUGGCGCAAGCCUGAUCCAGCCAUGCCGCGUGAGUGAAGAAGGCC
rnacentral:rRNA from 1 species